GUAGGGUGGCAAGCGUUGUCCGGAAUUAUUGGGCGUAAAGCGCGCGCAGGCGGUCCUUUAAGUCUGAUGUGAAAGCCCACGGCUCAACCGUGGAGGGUCAUUGGAAACUGGGGGACUUGAGUACAGAAGAGGAAAGCGGAAUUCCAAGUGUAGCGGUGAAAUGCGUAGAGAUUUGGAGGAACACCAGUGGCGAAGGCGGCUUUCUGGUCUGUAACUGACGCUGAGGCGCGAAAGCGUGGGGAGCAAACAGGAUUAGAUACCCUGGUAGUCCACGCCGUAAACGAUGAGUGCUAAGUGUUAGGGGGUUUCCGCCCCUUAGUGCUGCGGCUAACGCAUUAAGCACUCCGCCUGGGGAGUACGGCCGCAAAGGCUG
rnacentral:rRNA from 1 species